rnacentral:rRNA from 1 species
AUACGGAGGGGGCAAGCGUUGUUCGGAUUUACUGGGCGUAAAGAGCAUGUAGGCGGUUAGAUUAGUCAGUUGUGAAAUCCUAUGGCUUAACCAUAGAAUUGCAUCUGAUACUGUCUAGCUAGAGUGCAGGAGAGGAGAGUGGAAUUUCCAGUGUAGCGGUGAAAUGCGUAGAUAUUGGAAGGAACACCGGUGGCGAAGGCGGCUCUCUGGUCUGUAACUGACGCUGAGAUGCGAAAGCGUGGGUAGCAAACAGGAUUAGAAACCCCGGUAGUCC